CCUACGGGUGGCAGCAGUCGAGAAUCAUUCACAAUGGGGGAAACCCUGAUGGUGCGACGCCGCGUGGGGGAAUGAAGGUCUUCGGAUUGUAAACCCCUGUCAUGUGGGAGCAAAUUAAAAAGAUAGUACCACACGAGGAAGAGACGGCUAACUCUGUGCCAGCAGCCGCGGUAAUACAGAGGUCUCAAGCGUUGUUCGGAAUCACUGGGCGUAAAGCGUGCAUAGGCUGUUUCGUAAGUCGUGUGUGAAAGGCGCGGGCUCAACCCGCGGACGGCACAUGAUACUGCGAGACUAGAGUAAUGGAGGGGGAACCGGAAUUCUCGGUGUAGCAGUGAAAUGCGUAGAUAUCGAGAGGAACACUCGUGGCGAAGGCGGGUUCCUGGACAUUAACUGACGCUGAGGCACGAAGGCCAGGGGAGCGAAAGGGAUUAGAUACCCGUGUAGUC
rnacentral:rRNA from 1 species